rnacentral:misc_RNA from 1 species
GUCUACGCUCAUUUCAUCGUCGGCAAUGCUGGCUCAUACACCCAGAGUGAUUGGGCCAACGACAUUGCCACUGCUGCCGACUCCAAGAUCGACGGCUUCGCGCUGAACAUUGGCGGCGACUCAUACACGGACACUCAGCUUGGCUACGCAUACGCUGCGGCAGAAGCACAUGGCAACUUCAAGCUCUUCAUCUCCUUCGACUACGGAGCCAACCCCGGUUUCUCCGCUUCCGGUGUCACAAGCACUAUCAACAAAUACAAAGGGUCUUCAGCUCAGGCGCAAUACUUAGGCAAGCCUUUGGUGUCGACUUUCGAAGGUCCCAGCGCUGCUGGAGACUGGCCGGGCAUCAAGUCGAACACCGGGUGCUUUUUCGUUCCCGAUUGGACGUCAGCCAAGGGCACUCCCUCCACCUUCAAUGUGGCUGACGGUGCCCUCUCCUGGGACAUCUGGCCAACCACCGCUGCUGACAUGACCGAUGCCAACGACAAGGCAUGGCAGGCACUGCUCGGCAGCAAGGUCUACAUGAUGGGCAUCAGUCCCUGGUUCUACACCAACCUGCCGGCCUAUCAUAAGAACUGGC